GGGUCGUUAGCUCAGUCGGUAGAGUAGCGGACUUUUAAUCCGUUGGUCGAGCGUUCGAAUCGCUCACGACCCACCA
rnacentral:tRNA from 1 species